AAAGAAUGUAACACUUUGAGGGU
rnacentral:piRNA from 1 species